GACGAACGCUGGCGGCGUGCUUAUCACAUGCAAGUCGAACGCUGAAGCUCAGCUUUUGUUGGGUGGAUGAGUGGCGAACGGGUGAGUAACACGUGAGUAACCUGCCUCCUUCUUUGGGAUAACGCCCGGAAACGGGUGCUAAUACUGGAUAUUCACUGGUCUUCGCAUGGGGGUUGGUGGAAAGGGUUUUUCUGGUGGGGGAUGGGCUCGCGGCCUAUCAGCUUGUUGGUGGGGUGAUGGCCUACCAAGGCUUUGACGGGUAGCCGGCCUGAGAGGGUGACUGGUCACAUUGGGACUGAGAUACGGCCCAGACUCCUACGGGAGGCAGCAGUGGGGAAUAUUGCACAAUGGGCGCAAGCCUGAUGCAGCGACGCCGCGUGAGGGAUGGAGGCCUUCGGGUUGUGAACCUCUUUCGCUCAUGGUCAAGCCGCAACAAUGGUUGUGGUGAGGGUAGUGGGUAAAGAAGCGCCGGCUAACUACGUG
rnacentral:rRNA from 1 species